rnacentral:rRNA from 1 species
CGAAAGCCUGACGGAGCCAGACCGCGUGGGGGAGGAAGGCCCUUGGGUUGUAAACCCCUUUUCUCAGGGAAGAAACCUGACGGUACCUGAGGAAAAAGCCUCGGCUAACUCCGUGCCAGCAGCCGCGGUAAUACGGAGGAGGCAAGCGUUAUCCGGAAUUAUUGGGCGUAAAGCGUCCGCAGGUGGCUAGUCAAGUCUGCUGUCAAAGACCAGGGCUUAACCCUGGGCCGGCAGUGGAAACUGGUUAGCUGGAGUACGGUAGGGGUAGAGGGAAUUCCUGGUGUAGCGGUGAAAUGCGUAGAUAUCAGGAAGAACACCGGUGGCGAAAGCGCUCUACUGGGUCGCACCUGACCCUCAGGGACGAAAGCUAAGGUAGCG